UCCCUCAUGGUCCAGUGGUUAAGACUCUAUGCUUCCAAUGCAGAGGGUGCAGGUUCAAUCCCUGGUUGGGGAA
rnacentral:tRNA from 1 species